UACGUAGGGUGCGAGCGUUGUCCGGAAUUAUUGGGCGUAAAGAGCUCGUAGGCGGUCUGUCGCGUCGGAUGUGAAAGCCCGGGGCUUAACUCCGGGUCUGCAUUCGAUACGGGCAGACUAGAGUGCGGUAGGGGAGACUGGAAUUCCUGGUGUAGCGGUGAAAUGCGCAGAUAUCAGGAGGAACACCGGUGGCGAAGGCGGGUCUCUGGGCCGUAACUGACGCUGAGGAGCGAAAGCGUGGGGAGCGAACAGG
rnacentral:rRNA from 1 species